GUCCCGCGCGUCGGCGGCCGCGGAGCAGCGCAGGGAGCCAGGCGGGCUGCCGGCGGGUGUGAAGAAAAAAAUGACACUCCAAUGGGCUGCAGUGGCAACCUUUCUUUAUGCCGAAAUAGGACUCAUUUUAAUCUUCUGCCUACCUUUUAUUCCUCCUCAGAGAUGGCAGAAGAUUUUUUCAUUUAAUGUCUGGGGUAAAAUUGCAACUUUUUGGAACAAGGCUUUCCUUACCAUUAUCAUCCUAUUGAUUGUUCUAUUUCUAGAUGCUGUGAGAGAAGUAAGGAAAUAUUCCUCAGUUCAUACCAUUGAGAAGAGCUCCACCAGCAGACCUGAUGCCUAUGAACACACACAGAUGAAACUUUUUAGGUCUCAAAGAAAUCUUUACAUUUCUGGAUUUUCCCUAUUUUUUUGGCUGAGCUAAACCCCUGAGGGCAUGGACUUUGCUGUUUUCCGCUGUGUCUGCAGUGCCUGGCAGAGUGUCUUAACACUUAGCAGUUCCUGAGUAAAGGAAUGUCUGCUGAAUGAAUAAUUGAAGAUAGUCAUCACUAUUUCUUCUAACAAUGGCAGUUACACAUAAACGGAUGUGAAUGAGCUGUUCUUCGGCUUGUUUGACCUUACACAAUGUUCCUUAAAUAGCAGAAUUUGAACUGGGCCAAAAAAAAUAAUUCUCCUACUGGCCCUGUCACACUGUCUGAAAUUUUCCUGUUUCUAUUCCUCCAAGCUAAAGCCUUCUACAGGAAAACAAAUAAGUACCACUGAACCUGUAUUCUAAAUGCUGGUCUUCUAACAAAGAUUCCAAAGGAAUGAGACACGGGCCUGUUUUUACUAAGAGACUUGAAUUAAAAAAAGAAUAAUGGGUUCUGCCUAAACAUUAUCUGCCACCACCACACCUAUAUCUAAUGGGGAGUAAUUUGGCAAUGACUGUUUUAAAAUAAGUUUCUGGUGAUUGGCCAGUAAUACAUUAUUCUGGUUUUUUUUCUUAGAGUUUUGAGACGUCUGGUUACGCUUAUUACUCAACUGGCAAAAGAACUGUCAAACAAAGGUGUACUUAAAACUCAAGCAGAAAAUACUAACAAGGCUGCCAAAAAAUUUAUGGAAGAAAACGAAAAACUAAAAAGGAUUUUGAAAAGCCAUGGUAAAGAUGAAGAAUGUGUUUUGGAAGCAGAAAAUAAAAAACUAGUAGAAGACCAGGAGAAACUGAAAACUGAAUUAAGGAAGACUUCAGAUGCCCUUUCUAAGGCACAAAAUGAUGUGAUGGAAAUGAAGAUGCAGUCAGAGAGACUUUCGAAAGAAUAUGAUCAACUCCUGAAAGAACACUCUGAACUUCAGGAUCGUUUAGAAAGAGGCAACAAGAAAAGACUGUGAACUUUAUAAAAGACACUUGCAAUAUACUGUGUCAAAAUGAUAAUUUUGUUAUGUUAGCCUCUAGAAAAUUUAAGUUCAGAAAAAUGCACUAUGACCGGUUCGUAAUUUUUUUAAUGCCACACAUAGGUUGUAUUGUAAUGGCAUUAUCAAAAUAUUUGAUGAUGUUUCAGAUAUAUUGCAAAGUCUGUAUUCCAGCUCUUAAGAAAAAUAUAAGCAUGUUAAAUACCAUAUUUACAUAUUGAUAAUGUCAUUGGUAUAUGGUGGCUGUUUACCAAUAAAAGGAAAAAAUUCAUUAACCGGUUGCUUCCAAAAUUAGAAGUUUUAAGUUGCAUGAAACCAUUAAUAGCCUUGAAAGCUUUGAUAAGUUUUCAGUAAUAAUAACCUAUUUAAUCAGAUGAUGAUGUGUUUGAAAAUAGUGUUCAAUAUCAGCAAAUUUGUACACAGGGAAUGUAAAUAAGGAUAACUGAUCAGAGUUAUCCACUGUAUUUAUAAGGAAGAGUCGGAAAAAACAAUGACCUUAGUUUUUUUUAAGCCUGAUGAUACUAUGGUUUACUCUAAUAAGAUAGCUAUAUUGAUAAUUAUAUUUUUGUUACUGUGCCCUUGCACAUUUUGGUCUUUUUGUUAAUAUUUUUAUUAAUAACACAUAAUUAGUAACCACUCUACUGUUUCAAGUUAAUCUAGUAAUAGAGCUUACAUAUAUUUGUAUAACUGCUAUACCACUGAACUGAAUUUAUUUUACAACAGUGUAGAAUUCUUGAAAAGUUAACGUAGAAAAUAUCCAAAAAGCAGUAUUUCUAGAAAGUGUCCAAAAAGCAGUAUUUCUUUCCCUUGGUUGUGAGAGUAACUAAUUAUAUAAAUAUUACCUCAAAAAUACAUACACUGGUAUCACACAGUCUUUCUACAAUGUUUCUGUAUUCUGAAAGCUAAAUAUUAAGUACUAUUUUUCCAUUCAAAUAUUCAUUUAGAAUUUCCUUUAGAAGAUGGCAGUGAUUAUAAUAUUAAUAUGAUUUCAUUUGUUCCAGUGUUUAGACAUGAAAUCAUCUUCCUUGUCUCAUGAAAACCUAAAUAUAAAAAAAAGGAAAAUACUGGAGUUUUUAUUUCUCUUGUCUUUGUUACAUCCUCUGUUUAUUAUAAUUUUAGCACCAACUUCACACCUAGCUAAUUUUUUUCAUCAUAAAGUGGAUGAAAUGAGCAAGUACCUAAAAAUUUUAUUUCAGAUAAAAGUCAGGAGUUACUGCUAAAAAACAGACAUGUAGGAGACAUUCAACAGGAGUAUGAAAUGAGAGUUAGACCAUAUGGGCUGACAACACCAUAAAUAACAAGAAAAGGGAGUGCUGAAAUAGGAGAGAACAGAGCAAAUGUUAGCUCAAAGUAUAGACUUAGAAAUAUCAAAGUAAGAGCUAUCUGGAUAAAUAUAUAGAUAUUGAGUGCUUGGAAUCCUAGCCUACUAUGUGAAAAUUAAGUCUAAUGUCAGAAUAACUUACAGAAAAAUAGAAAAUGCACAGCUUUAAAAUGGGCAGAGUUAAAAUCUAUUCCCAGCUUUAUCACUUAUUUAGCCAUGCUAGCCUAGGCCUCUAUUUCCUUGUCUCCAAAAUGAGAAUAAUAAAAUUUAGGUCAGGAUUACUAUAUAAACUAAGAUAAUACAGUGAUUCUCAAAGUUGUUCAGACUGUAUAGUAAGGAGAAAGUCUGGUUGCACUUUGAAGAGCUUGAAGAUUUGAAAGAUUCCCAAAAAAGCAUUUUAAAGUUUACAUUUAAGGGACCUUGGACCUCAACCCUCUCAAGUUUACAAGUCUGAAACUUUAGACAUCAAAAGUUUGAGCAGUUUUUCCAAGGCAACAUUGAUAGUUAGAUUCAGGGCCAGGCUGUAAGUCUAGAAUUUAGAUAUCCUGAUCCCCCAGAUACCGCUCUUCUGGUUAUACACAGACCAGCUAUAAUUUGCUAAACAUAAAAUAUUGCAGUGUAUUAGCCGGCUGUGGCUCCAGAGUCUGUGCCCUUUACCACCGUGCCCAACUGUUUCACAUGCUGUGUUUGGUAGUUUUUCCUAGUACUCUCCUUAAUAAUGGUGGUGUUUAGCAAAUUGUAUUACAUAAAUAAAUAUUUAUUUCAUGGAUUGA